GAGUCUGACGAGGCGGAGAGUGCCACGG
rnacentral:sRNA from 1 species